GAAUAAUAUCAGUGGCGUGGGAAAGGUCCAACCUCACAUGUCCUGUGCAGCUGUAGGAAGGCUGUGUGGGGUCAGACCUAUCCUACACUGCUUGUAUUCUUCCC
rnacentral:miRNA from 10 species